rnacentral:rRNA from 1 species
AUGGAUUAUGGGGCUAGUCAGGAAUCAAUUGACUCCUUUGCUACCAGGUUGGGCCUAAACCCUGAAGAUCAAAAGGAAGGAGAUGACAUUGACAACAAUGGGGGAGAUGGAGUGAGAAGGUGUAACAGACUGAUGGAUAAGCAAGACGUGAAAAUUGAGGAGCUGGCCAAGCAAAGAGCAGCAGACAAGAACAAUUAUGGUAAGACUCACAACUCAGAUGAGGGGGACUCCUCUCUUCUUUUCAUGGCUGAUAAAAUUGGUAUAGAUUUAGGAUGUACCAUUGAUAUGGUUAAUCAAAAUUUAGAGAUCAUUGAGAAAAUGGAGCAAAGCAGAAAAGACUUUUACUGUGCAAGAAGAGAUAUUACUCAUUGA